AUACUUACCUGGCAGGGGAGACACCAUGGUCAUGAAGGUGGUUUUCCCAGGGCGAGGCUUAUCCAUUGCACUCUGGAUGUGCUGCCCUGCGAUUUCCCCAAAUGUGGGAAACUUGACUGCAUAAUUUGUGGAAGAGGUGGACUGCGUUUGUUUGUACUUUCCCCUA